UGACAUAAGAUUAUAGAUGCAUCAUCUUCAUGAGGGAGAGAAGCACCGUUAAAUACUGUAGUAUUCAGAGAGAUAGAAAGAGAGAAGAGGGUGAAGAGGUAUAUCAAAAGAGAACAAGAGAGAUAGCAGUGCUAUAUAUUUAUGCUAAUGCAUUAAUCCCUGCAACGGAUAAAGAAAGUCAAGAACCUAGCAAAGAAACCCAUGAAGAACCAAAAGAUGAAGGUACAGACAGUAAUAGCUUCUAGGUAUGGAAUUAAAUGCAGAUGUGGCAAAGACGGCUUCCUUUAAGAUCAACAGACUGCUGCUACUGUGACAUUAAAUGGUUAACUAUAAACUGCACCUUAUAUACAAAACUAUUACAUGAUGUGUAUUUUGGGGGGCUUAAACCUUUGAAGCUGACAGUGAAUGAUGUUCAUGCUAAUUGAAAUUGUACCUGCUGCUUAAUGAAGACUUUAGUGGAUUCCUGGAUAAAACAGGUGACCACACCAACCACUGUACAUAGAUCUGACUGAAUGUACGCAAUAGUUUACUCUACAUCUCAUAUUGUGACUUGUGACUCCAGUAAAAUGGGCUGAGAUGACAAACUAAGGUGUUGUUUGAGUUGUUGUUCAUAUUGGGGAAGUGUACUGUAGCUAGCAGUCUGACCAGUCUCACUAGGAGGGAAGGGAAGUGUACUGUAGCUAGCAGUCUGACCAGUCUCACUAGGAGGGAAGGGAAGUGUAGUGUAGCUAGCAGUCUGACCAGUCUCACUAGGAGGGAAUGGAAGUGUACUGUAGCUAACAGUCUGACCAGUCUCACUAGGAGGGAAGGGAAGUGUAGUGUAGCUAGCAGUCUGACCAGUCUCACUAGGAGGGAAGGGAAGUGUAGUGUAGCUAGCAGUCUGACCAGUCUCACUAGGAGGGAAGGGAAGUGUACUGUAGCUAACAGUCUGACCAGUCUCACUAGGAGGGAAGGGAAGUGUAGUGUAGCUAGCAGUCUGACCAGUCUCACUAGGAGGGAAGUGUAGUGUAGCUAGCAGUCUGACCAGUCUCACUAGGAGGGAAGGGAAGUGUAGUGUAGCUAGCAGUCUGACCAGUCUCACUAGGAGGGAAGGGAAGUGUAGUGUAGCUAGCAGUCUGACCAGUCUCACUAGGAGGGAAGUGUAGUGUAGCUAGCAGUCUGACCAGUCUCACUAGGAGGGAAGUGUAGUGUAGCUAGCAGUCUGACCAGUCUCACUAGGAGGGAAGUGUAGUGUAGCUAGCAGUCUGACCAGUCUCACUAGGAGGGAAGUGUAGUGUAGCUAGCAGUCUGACCGUCUCACUAGGAGGGAAGGGAAGUGUGGUGUGGCUAGCAGUCUGACCAGUCUCACUAGGAGGGAAGGGAAGUGUGGUGUAGCUAGCAGUCUGACCAGUCUCACUAGGAGGGAAGGGAAGUGUAGUGUAGCUAGCAGUCUGACCAGUCUCACUAGGAGGGAAGUGUAGUGUAGCUAGCAGUCUGACCAGUCUCACUAGAAGGGAAGUGUAGUUUAGCUAGCAGUCUGACCAGUCUCACUAGAAGGGAAGUGUAGUUUAGCUAGCAGUCUGACCAGUCUCACUAGGAGGGAAGGGAAGUGUAGCUAGCAGUCUGACCAGUCUCACUAGAAGGGAAGUGUAGUGUAGCUAGCAGUCUGACCAGUCUCACUAGGAGGGAAGGGAAGUGUGGUGUAGCUAGCAGUCUGACCAGUCUCACUAGGAGAGAAGAGAAGUGUAGUGUAGCUAGCAUUCUGACCAGUCUCACUAGAAGGGAAGUAUAGUGUAGCUAGCAGUCUGACCAGGCUCACUAAGAGGGAAGGGAAGUGUAGUGUAGCUAGCAGUCUGACCAGGCUCACUCGGAGGAAAGGGAAGUGUAGUGUAGCUAGCAUUCUGACCAGUCUCACUAGAAGGGAAGUAUAGUGUAGCUAGCAGUCUGACCAGGCUCACUCGGAGGAAAGGGAAGUGUAGUGUAGCUAGCAGUCUGACCAGUCUCACAAGGAGGGAAGGGAAGUGUAGCUAGCAGUCUGACCAGUCUCACUAGGAGGGAAGGGAAGUGUAGUUUAGCUAGCAGUCUGACCAGCUCACUAGGAGAGUAAGGGAAGUGUACUGUAGCAGCAGUCUGACCAGUCUCACUAGGAGAGUAAGGGAAGUGCCAGGCAGUCUGUAUUUAAUGUGAGCACAGGGCGUCUGGCGAGAAGCCCGAAGCGAAGAACAGCAGGGUUCACUCACAGGUAUCUGAAAGUGGAUUAAAGAUGAACACACAAUAAUCAGAUUUUCUGUUUUCUAUUUGUUAUGUCUCUCUAUAUGUCUCUACUGUUUUGUCCCUUGUCACUCCUUGUUUCAGAUACCCAUAGACAGCCCUACUGAGCUCCGGUCCCAGCUCCACCAGACUACACCCUGGUUCACACCACUCUGUGGCCAGAGAUGCUCUAACAUACAGGGCUGACAAACACCGCCGGGAGGCUGGCUCGGCGUUGUUGCCGUGGGCGAGGCGGGGUGGAAUGCAGGGGCAGGACACUCUCCAGGGCCUUGGAGAGCCGGCCCGCAAACGUGUCACCGUCUUCCGACCCCCGGCAGGGGGAGUGGGGGGCGGAGAGGACCGGAGGAGGGGUGGAGGGCCGGUUGGGAAGGCAGGACAGAGCAGGAGGGGUGGAGGAAAAGUAGGGGACGCAAACUGACAUGCUACGGCCACGGUGGCGGGGAGGUGGUGAGAGAGGCUGCAGGCGGAAGGAAGGAGGGAAGGACAAUUAACCACAGAAUGGACGGAACACAGGUGAGCUAAACACAGGUGAGCUAAACACAGGUGAGCUAAACACAGGUGAGCUAAACACAGGUGAGCUAAACACAGGUGAGCUAAACACAGGUGAGCUAAACACAGGUGAGCUAAACACAGGUGAGCUAAACACAGGUGAGCUAAACACAGGUGAGCUAAACACAGGUGAACUAAACACAGGUGAGCUAAACACAGGUGAGCUAAACACAGGUGAACUAAACACAGGUGAGCUAAACACAGGUGAGCUAAACACAGGUGAACUAAACACAGGUGAACUAAACACAGGUGAGCUAAACACAGGUGAGCUAAACACAGGUGAACUAAACACAGGUGAACUAAACACAGGUGAGCUAAACACAGGUGAGCUAAACACAGGUGAACUAAACACAGGUGAGCUAAACACAGGUGAGCUAAACACAGGUGAGCUAAACACAGGUGAGCUAAACACAGGUGAACUAAACACAGGUGAACAGAGGUGACAAACAGAUCUAAAGAUCUGAUAACACGGGACACGAUAAACACUAUGGAAUAAAGACACGUGGCAUUAGAAGACGGGAGUAUGAAGGUUAGAAAGAGGCAAGAGCAUAUUGUGAACAGAAAGAGGUUAGAUAAGAGGUAAGUAAUACUGAUUAAAAGGAAAAGUAAUCUAUAAUCUCAAAUUAGAGAUGUGAGUACUAGAGCCAUUUCUAGGUCAUCUAAAGUGUUAAUUAACAAGCUAGGAUGACUCAAAUAAAACACUAAAGCAGCUCUAAUCUAUUUCUUGCGGCUUUGUUCAAAAUGAAAACACCAACUGAAUAAGAACCUUUCAAUGUAAUGGUAUUGCACUACUAUCUAGGGUAUUUAAGAAGAUAUUCUACCCUCAAACCAAUCCGUGUCCAAAAUUGCACCCUAUUUCCUAUAUAGAUCUAGGCUCCUGGUCAGACGUAGUGCCCUAUAUAGGGGAUAGGGUGCCAUUUCAGACACAGCCAGUGUUCUAAAUCAUAGUGUGGCUGAAAGGAAAAUCACUGCCACAGACUAUGUACUGCUCUGCUGCAGGAAACUAAAUAUAGCUAGGUAGCCAGCUGCCUGGCAGGGGACUUGGCAAUGCCAGUGUACCAGAGGCGCAGUCUGCUCUGUCUGUACAAUAAUUCACAGACACAUUCACCUUGCUGAUUCUACACAAUGGUCUAAAAAGAAAUCAAUGUUCCGCCAAGAGUGGUCAGGGAACAGUUGAUUUGGGGGUUGAGGAAGCUAUUCCUUAUUCAUCCACAGUAGCUCUACAAUGUUGCAUUUAGAUUUGAUCUGUGCCUAGUCAAUUAUUCUGUUUAUAUAGUCUAGUGAAGCCUACUGGUUACAGUCUAGUGAAGCCUACUGGUUACAGUCUAGUGAAGCCUACUGGUUACAGUCUAGUGAAGCCUACUGGUUACAGUCUAGUGAAGCCUACUGGUUACAGUCUAGUGAAGCCUACUGGUUACAGUCUAGUGAAGCCUACUGGUUACAGUCUAGUGAAGCCUACUGGUUACAGUCUAGUGAAGCCUACUGGUUACUGGUUAUAGUCUAGUGAAGCCUACUGGUUACUGGUUAUAGUCUAGUGAAGCCUACUGGUUACAGGUUAUAGUCUAGUGAAGUCUACUGGUUACUGGUUACAGGUUAUAGUCUAGUGAAGCCUACUGGUUAUUGUGCCUCUGGCUAUAAGAUAGCAGAAGAUACUAUUAAAAGGCAAGGCCCAGCACAGGGCUUUGAAGAGAUGAAGGGCUAUGAACUCAUUCUCAAAGUAAAUCACAGCUUUGUUGAUGGAACCUUCCAGAACUGAAUUCUGUUGCAGCCCAGGAAUAAUAGCUGGUAGAACUCGUUGUUUACAUCCAAUGAGAUGUUUAACAGGUCAACAUAGUACAGCGGUUAAAAGGGAUUUACUAAAAAAUAAGUGAUGUGAUUUAUAUCACACUGGGAACCAAUAACAUUUGAUGAUAACACACAAAUAAAUAAAUUGACAAAGAGGAAGACAUAAAAUAAUCUUAAAACCCAACAGUAGGUGGAGCAGACUGCAUAGACGCACCAAUCAAUCCCAUCUUUCAGUAUGAAAAACACAACACGUAAGAAUGGACUGCAAAGUAUGAAGUCCACAAGCCUUUUUCAGGUUGGGGUUUAUUGAUAUACAGCUGUGUUGUUGCUUAUUCAGAUGUAAAAAUAGCAGCAGCUAGGCAUUGUUUCAAGGUCAUAUGUCAUUUAGGACCAAUGGCAAUAUCAUUUUAACACUACCACUAUCAUUCAGCAGAUUGAUUCACUGUAAAGUAAUGGCACUUGAUGGUCAAAUAAAACCAAACAAUGGUAGAAUGACUGCAGAAUUUAAAGUGGCUGUGGUUGUCAUGCCCAAUAACUUUUUAUGCAAGCUUACCAAAGACCACACACACACACACACACACACACACACACACACACACACACACACACACACACACACACACACACACACACACACACACACACACACACAGUAGAAUUCAUGUGUAAUCCAUGUUGAAUGCAAACAAUUCUUGAUAAGCUUGAACAGCUUGGAAAUCUCAGUCUAACAUAUGCCAUCGGGUGUAUGGUUUGUGGUGUAUGGUAAAGCUCCAUAGCUUUAGGAAGGAGAGCUAUAAUUCACUGACACUAUGGAGAUGGCUGAGUCGGCUCCAGUAACAAGGCUUGUGAUUCAGUGUGUCUGACACUGAUGAGUGAUGGCUGGCUGAGGUGACUGCCAGUGUGCCAGACAGAGAGCCUAAAAACACCAGCAUGGCACCUCUAAAAUAAACCGUAUGGGAUUGAUGGAGGCCUUGACAGCUUGUACAGCUAACUGCCUAAUAUCUAUACAAACAACACAAAUAAUGACAAAUACCAACAUGAGUACUAUGAAUAAUAUGUACCAUAAAUGAUUGGUUGGGAUUGGGGGGUGAUGGGUUGGGGGAGGGGGGGGAUAGGGUACUGUACUAGAACGAGAUGCAUGGUAUAACUGAGGAUGCAGCAACGUGGAAGGUAUGAGGGGGGAAAAGGAAUCAAACGCAAAGCAUGGAGUUUGUUUACUUCUGAGUGACUUUGGUUUCUCCAACAUGCAUCAUUCUGUUCAGAAAUGCUAAUCAAACAAACCAACUGACAUUGGGCAAAACAACAGUUCAAUUCAUUAAAACAAAAGAAAAUGUAGAAGACACAACUGACCAAACUGUACUCCUGGAACUAAAACACACAGAGUAACUGAUUUCAGAAACUUGCAGCUGUUCUCACUUUUGGCAGAUUAAAGGCUAGUUAAUUCUGGUACUUACCUGUAAGUCACUGUGACUGAAGACCGAAGAGCACGACUGGGGCUUCUAACCUAUGGGAUGGUCUUCAUAUACUGAACAUCUGUCUAAACCCUUUAGGAUGGUGUUAAUUAGACAUCUGUCUAAACCCUUUAGGAUGGUGUUAAUUAGACAUCUGUCUAAACCCUUUAGGAUGGUGUUAAUUAGACAUCUGUCUAAACCCUUUAGGAUGGUGUUAAUUAGACAUCUGUCUAAACCCUUUAGGAUGGUGUUAAUUAGACAUCUGUCUAAACCCUUUAGGAUAGAACAUGGCACAUGGGUUCUAGAAAAUAGGUUUUAGACUUGACCUGUAGGGGAGGCCGUGGGGUUAAGCUCUGUUAGUGGAGACAGGCGGGUACCUACGGAGCAGGAAGGGCAGCUCAUUUGUGACUAGGCUAUACAUUUUGGGUGUAGAUUAACAUAUUGGUUUGUCCUUCCUUAAUUUGUGUGUUUUGGGCGUAGAUCAACCGUUUGUCUUGUGUGACUAUUUGUUUGGGAUUCCUUUAUUUGUGUGUUUUGGGCGUAGCUCAAUCGUCUUGUGUGACUAUGUUUGGGAUUCCUUUAUUUGUGUGUUUUGGGCGUAGCUCAAUCGUCUUGUGUGACUAUGUUUGGGAUUCCUUUAUUUGUGUGUUUUGGGCGUAGCUCAAUCGUCUUGUGUGACUGUUUGUUUGGGAGUCCUUAAAUGAGUUUGUUUUUCUGGGUCUUCGGUUUCAACUUUCAAUCUAAAAAUGCUCUGGUAUUGUUUUAUGACUAAAAGCUAAACCUGUUCCUGUCCUGUUCCUUGUAUUAGCUUGAGGGGAAACACGAGAGCAUAUUAAAAGACUGAAUUAACAGCCAGUUUAAUAUUCUAUAAAGGCCCUAUUCCUCCCAAUACACUGAAGAAUACUGUUCCAGACAUUGGUUUGGGAGUCUCUUGGUAAACAGCAAGACCAUCAGCGUUACUGUUGAAAGAAGAACGGUAAAACCUGACCUCUGGUUCUCUCGGAAAAUCGCCACUGAGUUUGUCAUUUAUUCAUUACUGAAUAAGUGGGUUAGAACACAGCUGCUGGUCCACCACUGCGGUACCAAGAAGACCGAAAUGUCAAACUGAAGAACUCGUGGGACUACAGUAGGCUGAUGUUGGACAGAUGUGGGAUUAUAAAGGACUACAGGACAAACCUGAGAGAGAAACAGAUGUGGGAUUAUAAAGGACUACAGGACAAACCUGAGAGAGAAACAGAUGUGGGAUUAUAAAGGACUACAGGACAAACCUGAGAGAGAGAGGGCAGCCGGGAAGGAAAACGGUUGAGAACCUCUUCAUCUCAAAAGGGAACUGGCUCCAAAUCCAGUCUUCAGACAUCACCUUCAUGCAUAUUAAACUACAAACUCCACUGAAAUUCACUUCACUUCCACCUUCCUAAGAACUACAAA